rnacentral:rRNA from 1 species
GGUCUUAUGAUUGAUAAUGUAAGAUUUGGCCUGCUCUAUGUAUAAUAAAUGGCCGCGGUAUAUUGACCGUGCGAAGGUAGCAUAAUAAUUAGGCUAUUAAUUGUGGUCUUGGAUGAAAGGUUGGACGAGGGAAAUACUUUCUUAUAGAUAUUGUUGAAUUUAAAUAAUUAGUAAAAAUGCUAAUAUGAUUUAAAAAGACGAGAAGACCCUAUUGAGUUUUAUAUUUAUUUUAUUUAUUAUAUUUGAUUGGGGCGAUAAUUAAUAAACAAUUUAUGUAAUUGAUCCAUUAUUAGUGAUUAAUAGAAUAAAUUACCAUAGGGAUAACAGCAUAAUUUGAUUGGAGAGUUCAUAUUGAUAUUCAAGUUUGUGACCUCGAUGUUGGAUUAAGAUUCCUUUUGGGUGCAGAUGCUUAAAUAGGUAGACUGUUCGUCUAUUAAAUUCUUACA